UACGUAGGGUGCAAGCGUUAAUCGGAAUUACUGGGCGUAAAGCGUGCGCAGGCGGUUCGCUAAGACCGAUGUGAAAUCCCCCGGGCUUAACCUGGGAACUGCAUUGGUGACUGGCGGGCUAGAGUAUGGCAGAGGGGGGGUAGAAUUCCACGUGUAGCAGUGAAAUGCGUAGAGAUGUGGAGGAAUACCGAUGGCGAAGGCAGCCCCCCUGGGCCAAUACUGACGCUCAUGCACGAAAGCGUGGGAGCAAACAGG
rnacentral:rRNA from 1 species